AAAUCCCUUGUUAUGGGAGGACUUAGUGAAAAGAUAGCCCUCUAAGAACCAGGAAGUGGGUCUCAGACACUGCAUCAGCAGUUACUCUCAUAAACCUGUAAUGCUAAAAACCAUGAGGAAGAAUCCAGACAUAGGAUUGUUUUAUCUUGACUCUACCCACCGCAGUGCUGAAUCGAGGUCAGGACAGUGCAAGCCUCCUCUUCUUGCCCCAGUUUCAGUCAGUAAAAGAGCAAAUUCCAAGCCUCUUCAGGGGUAUUUUCAUCCCUCCCACUAGUCAUGUCCAGAUUAGGAAGAGCUCUCAGGAAAUGAAUUAGUCACUGGAACCUGGAAUGAAUUCCCAGUUUUCCAUCCAAAUCCUGUCUCUGGAAUCAGCUUUCAUAUGCCUUCUCCCCUUGAAGUCGUUCACCUCACAUUGCCUUUUCCUGGGUCAGAUUCCUGCCUGCGGCUGGAGUCACAGGCAUGUGGGUGCCAUCAGAGUCUAACUUAACUUUUCUCUGUUGGGUUCGGAUGCUUGUGUUUGCCCCCAUCGUAAGACUUUGAGAUAAAUGUUUUUAGGGAGCAUCCCCCACAGGACUGUGACUUGUAAUGAAUGGGACGAAGGGGCGUUUUCAAUCACACACCCCGUGACCAGCACUGAGGACUGCUAAUCCAAGAUCAGCUUCAGGAGGUUGGUGAGCACAUCUUACAGCUGGUUUUUUACCAGAUUCAUUCAUUCAGUAGCAGAGAUUCACAGCUUUCUAUUAUGCACCAAUCACUGGGCUCUGCCCUAGAGCAGCAGUGGUGAUGGAAUACACACUCAACCUUCCCUCUCAUGGUUUAUAGUGUCAUCAGGGAGACAGACCAGGAAAUGCUCAAUAAACAUUCUCUAUCUGACGGGUACCUUGAAA